AAUGAAUAUGCCUCAGCCUCAGUUUCUUCAACCAUAAGCUAUGUUUAUUUAUCAAGUACCUUGUAUACUAUAGAUGUUUAGGCAGUAACUAUUACUGAUAAGUGAUAAGCCUUGGAAAAAGGUGGAGUCAGCCUAAAUGGGAUUUCUGUCAGGCAACAAAACUAACAGAUCAGCUACCACUUAUCAUUGUGUGUGAUCGAUUUGACUUUGUCCAUGAUUUGGUGCUCUAUUUAUAUAGAAAUAAUCUUCAAAAGUAUAUAGAGAUAUAUGUACAGAAGGUGAAUCCAAGUCGACUUCCUGUAGUUAUUGGAGGAUUACUUGAUGUUGACUGUUCUGAAGAUGUCAUAAAAAACUUGAUUCUUGUUGUAAGAGGUCAAUUCUCUACUGAUGAGCUUGUUGCUGAGGUUGAAAAAAGAAACAGAUUGAAACUGCUUCUGCCUUGGCUAGAGGCCAGAAUUCAUGAGGGCUGUGAGGAGCCUGCUACUCACAAUGCCUUAGCCAAAAUCUACAUAGACAGUAAUAACAACCCGGAGAGAUUUCUUCGUGAAAAUCCCUACUAUGACAGUCGCGUUGUUGGAAAGUAUUGUGAGAAGAGAGAUCCACAUCUGG
rnacentral:lncRNA from 1 species